rnacentral:lncRNA from 1 species
AAACUUACAUUGUUAGAUAAGAGUAUUUUUAUAUUUUAAAAUUUGAUACUAAUUAAAUAAAAUAAUUAUUUUAAAAAAAUUUAAUAAAAAUAAUAUUUUUAUAUUUUUAUAUUCAAAAUGGCCAUAAAUGGAGGCAACAACACUUUCCAUCUCUCUCCACCCACCGUAUUCUCUUCCCUCUCACUACCUCUAUCUUAUCUCCCGAAAUUACCAUCCUACUUUAAAAUUCUAAAACUAAAUAGGCAUUCAUAAUUGCUUUAUCUAUGUAGCUUGGUUUUAUAUACUUAGUAAAUAAAGCAGAUAGGGUGUUAUCUCUCUAUAGCUCUCUCUCUCUCUCUCUCUCUCUCUCUCUCUCUCUCUCUCUCUCUCUCUCUCUCUCU